AGGACGAACGCUGGCGGCGUGCUUAACACAUGCAAGUCGAGCGGAAAGGCCCUUCGGGGUACUCGAGCGGCGAACGGGUGAGUAACACGUGAGCAACCUGCCCCUGGCUCUGGGAUAGCCUUCGGAAACGGGGAUUAAUACCGGAUAUUCACUGCUUCCUGCAUGGGGGGUGGUGGAAAGUUUUUCGGCUGGGGUGGGGCUCGCGGCCUAUCAGCUUGUUGGGGGGGUGACGGCCCACCAAGGCGACGACGGGUAGCCGGCCUGAGAGGGCGACCGGCCACACUGGAACUGAGACACGGCCCAGACUCCUACGGGAGGCAGCAGUGGGGAAUAUUGGACAAUGGGCGAAAGCCUGAUCCAGCAAUGCCGCGUGUGUGAAGAAGGUUUUCGGAUUGUAAAGCACUUUCGACGGGGACGAUGAUGACGGUACCCGUAGAAGAAGCCCCGGCUAACUUCGUGCCAGCAGCCGC
rnacentral:rRNA from 1 species